CCGAGUUUACACUCCCAAACCCCUGUGAACAUACCACUUGUUGCCUCGGCGGAUCAGCCCGCUCCCGGUAGAACGGGACGGCCCGCCAGAGGACCCCUAACUCUGUUUCUAUAUGUAACUUCUGAGUAAAACCAUAAAUAAAUCA
rnacentral:misc_RNA from 1 species